CUACGGGGGGCACCAGUCGAGAAUCUUCCACAAUGGGCGAAAGCCUGAUGGAGCGACGCCGCGUGCAGGAUGAAGGCCUUCGGGUCGUAAACUGCUUUUGGCUGGGAAGAAUCCCGAGAGCAAUCGAGGGAUGACGGUACCAGCAGAAUAAGGGGCCGCUAAUCUCGUGCCAGCAGCGGCGGUAAUACGAGAGCCCCAAGCGUUAUCCGGAAUUAUUGGGCGUAAAGAGCGUGUAGGCGGGCCUAUUAGUUUUCUGUUAAAACUCAGAGCUCAACUCUGAAUCUGCGGGAAAUACGGUAGGUCUAGAGGGCGCGAGAGGCCAGUGGAACUCACGGUGUAGGGGUGAAAUCCGUUGAUAUCGUGGGGAACACCAAAGGCGAAGGCAUCUGGCUGGCGCGACCCUGACGCUGAGACGCGAAAGCGUGGGGAUAGAAAAGGAUUAGAUACCCUAGUAGUC
rnacentral:rRNA from 1 species